UGUGAAGUAAGGAAAGCCCUAUCUAAGCAAGAGAUGGCUAGUGCUUCAUCCAGCCAAAGAGGUCGAAGUGGUUCUGGAAACUUUGGUGGUGGUCAUGGAGGUGGUUUUGGUGGGAAUGACAACUUUGGUCGUGGAGGGAACUUCAGUGGUCGAGGUGGCUUUGGUGGCAGUCGAGGUGGUGGUGGAUAUGGGCAGUGGGGAUGGCUAUAACGGAUUUGGUAAUGAUGGAAGCAACUUUGGAGGUGGCGGAAGCUAUAAUGAUUUUGGCAAUUACAACAAUCAAUCCUCAAAUUUUGGACCCAUGAAAGGAGAAAAUUUUGGAGGCAGAAGCUCUGGCCCCUAUGGUGGUGGAGGCCAAUACUUUGCCAAACCACGAAACCAAGGUGGCUAUGGUGGUUGCAGCAGCAGCAGUAGCUAUGGCAGUGGCAGAAGGUUUUAAUUACUGCCAGGAAACAAAGCUUAGCAGGAGAGGAGAGCCAGAGAAGUGACAGGGAAGCUACAGGUUACAACAGAUUUGUGAACUCAGCCAAGCACAGUGGUGGCAGGGCCUAUCUGCUACAAAGAAGUCAUGUUUUAGACAAUAUUCAUGUGUAUGGGCAAAAAACUCAAGGACUGUAUUUGUGACUAAUUGUAUAACAGGUUAUUUUAGUUUCUGUUCUGUGGAAAGUGUAAAGCAUUCCAACAAAGGGUUUUAAUGUAGAUUUUUUUUUUUUGCACCCAUGCUGUUGAUUGCUAAAUGUAAUAUUGUCUGAUCAUGAUGCUGAAUAAAUGUGUCUU